AUGAACGCUGACAGAAUGCUUAACACAUGCAAGUCCACUUGAACUUCGGUUUGGGUGGCGGCCGGGUGAGUAACGCGUAAAGAACUUGCCUCACAGUUAGGGACAACAUUUGGAAACGAAUGCUAAUACCUGAUAUUAUGAUUUUAGGGCAUCCUAGAAUUAUGAAAGCUAUAUGCGCUGUGAGAGAGCUUUGCGUCCCAUUAGCUAGUUGGAGAGGUAACGGCUCACCAAGGCGAUGAUGGGUAGCCGGCCUGAGAGGGUGAACGGCCACAAGGGGACUGAGACACGGCCCUUACUCCUACGGGAGGCAGCAGUGGGGAAUAUUGGACAAUGGACCAAGAGUCUGAUCCAGCAAUUCUGUGUGCACGAUGAAGUUUUUCGGAAUGUAAAGUGCUUUCAGUUGGGAAGAAAAAAAUGACGACACCAACAGAAGAAGUGACGGCUAAAUACGUG
rnacentral:rRNA from 1 species